CAUCGCCAAAUACCAACCUUGCCC
rnacentral:siRNA from 1 species